CUAGGUUCAAAUGCUCUCCUCAUCUAGAAAAAUUUCUCAACUCUCUCAGGAUCAAGCACCCCAUGAAUGAACUUAGUAACAAAGUACAAGGCUAUAUUAGCCCAGGUUUAGAAUGCAGAGCCACCACUGCCCUCACGGGCACGCCACACCGCCUUGAAUUAGUGUAGUAUCAAGGGCAAAGCUAUAUAUUAGCCCAAGGUUCAUCUCUAAAUAUGUUUGUCUGUUACAGGACUUGAAUAUUUCACCAGAUUCAAUACUGCAGAAUGUAGAUGAGCAGACAGUUCAUAGUCUCAAUGGAUGCAGAGUGACUGAUCAAAUUUUGCGUUUGGUCCCAAAUAUUCAGAGCUUUCGUACUACACUGAGAUGUGUGACACUCUGGGCAAAGUGAUGUGGGGUUUAUUCAAAUGUUUCAAGGUUUCUUGGUGGUAUCAAUUGGGCGUUACUUGUUGCUCGUAUAUGCCAACGUUACACAUGGUGUAUCAUGUACAUUGAUGAAUAAAUUUCAUUAAAUAUUAUUAUAAUUAGUGAUGUGUAAAAUAUGUGGUGCAUCUGCCAUCACUGGGGUUUCUCUAGCCGACGGAAAAAAAAGCACAUCAAUUGUUGAGAUUUAUUCCUCGGAUGCGCUAACAUGAUACAUAUUCAUUGUAGUACUUGAUUCUGUUCUUAUCAUGUGUUGGUUGGAUCUCAUUUUUUUUAAUUGUUGAGAUUUACUAAUAUGUUAUUGCUUGUUUAGGUCUCCGAUAAUUUACUUCAUGAUGCUAGUAGCAAUCAAGAAACUUUAAUCUUUUGUUCUCAAACCCUCAGAAGCAAGGUUUUGGUAUAUCAAGGCAGCCUUUCUUUUCACAUAUCAUAGUGCAUUUUGCUUGUGAUGGACAGGUACAACGAGAUUUUGAAGAGCUGCCUUCUGAAGCUUUUCGCCUGUUACGAGAUUUAUUAAAUAGCUUAUUGAAAACAUUUCACAAAGGCCCCCCCUAAAGUUAGAACCCAGAUUAGCCUUGCUGUGGCUGCAUUGGCUGUUCAUGUUCCUGCUAAAGAUUGGGGUGAUGGUGGCAUUGUAAAUUGGCUUAGAGAUGAGAUGAAUUCUCACCCCGAAUGCAUACCAAGCUUCCUCGAGCUACUAAGAGUUUUGCCUGAGGAUCCCUGCUUCUACACUUGCUUCUCACCCAUUGGUGCUAACAGCUCUCUCUAGCUUGAAUUCUGAUAUCCUUUCAGAGGCAUCCGUGAAUGUUAUAUAAUCAUCAUUUUGGUGAAGAUGAUUGAUGACUUGAUGAAGCUGAAGAGAGCUAUGGAUGAAGUUAUUUUCAGAGAAUUUGGAGAGCACACUGAAUAUUAUUAUUUUUAUGAUUUUGUAUUGUCAUAUUGUAUUUAAAGGGGUUUUAUAAGUUUUUUAAGUUUUUUCAUUUUUUAAUAUAUGUAAGCACAGAUAAUUUUUUUUAUUUAAUUCCUUUGUAUAUAGUUUUGAAUAUUUAAUUUCCAUUUAUGAAAUAUAUGACGUUAUUCUA